rnacentral:tRNA from 1 species
GGGGGAUAGCCAAGUGGCCAAAGGCAGCAGACUGUAAAUCUGCCGGCGGACGCCUUCGCAGGUUCAAAUCCUGCUCCCCCC